rnacentral:snoRNA from 1 species
GCCGAUGACGAGAACUCCCUGGACUGAGCCGUGAUGAAGACCGGUUUCCUGAGGC